UACGAGGGGGGGCGAGCGUUGUUCGGAAUUAUUGGGCGUAAAGGGUGCGUAGGCGGUUUGGUAAGUCUGAUGUGAAAUCUAUGGGCUCAACUCAUAGUCUGCAUCGGAAACUGCCGGGCUUGAGUGUGGUAGGGGAGACUGGAAUUCCUGGUGUAGCGGUGAAAUGCGCAGAUAUCAGGAGGAACACCGAUGGCGAAGGCAGGUCUCUGGGCCGAUACUGACACUGAGGAGCGAAAGCGUGGGGAGCGAACAGA
rnacentral:rRNA from 1 species